GUCAACAUCAUCUAAUAAUGGACUGAAGUAUGUCAGGCAAACAUGAUUUAUGAAUACACUAAAAAACAAACAAACAUGUAAUUCUAACUGUUAUUCCUUGGCUUAAUAUUUUUACUCUGCUAUCUGCUAUAGAGAAUCAUUUUUAUUUUUAUCACACUAUUCCUGUUCUAUAAUUAAUUGCACUGAAUUAACUUGUUAAAUUCACAUUCCAUUUUUAUGUUUUAUAUUUCACGCAGAUUACCCAUCCUUUUUUGAGUGCACUUAAAAAACACUCCACGGCCCAAUUAAUUAAUGAUGAGUUCUAGAAUGCUCCUCUAUCUUCAGUAAAAAGCGGCAGUUUCUGUGCCUUCAGGGAGAUUCAUGCAUCAUUCAGAUCACUCGGCCCAUCUUUAUGCCUCGAAUGUCUUGGUGUCCUUUGUAUUGUGGACCUCCCACCACAAUGCACAUUCCCGAAGUCAAUGGGGUAUGGAAAACUCAUCAUUUUGAGACUUUUCUCAGUUCGCCAGACAGGCUGGGUUGGACCAUACUACAGGAAGACGCAGUACCCUGUCAACCGCCACCUGUUACGGCCCACAUUUCAGACACUUCCAGAGCUACAGAGCACAGAAGCUUUGUCAUGCUGCAGAAAUGCUGUUGGUGUGAAAGCACAGUGCAAACCUGAUGUUGCAGUUACGCUGUGCAGCAUGAAACAGGCCUUAGGUUAAGGUAAGAAGACCUGACAUUAUUUUCUUGCACUGAAAAAUUGAAGUAUGACUCUUUUUUUCCUGUGAGCACAUAUAAGGAAGAUUCAUUUUCCCUUGUAGCAGCUGUGUGUGGCCAUGAAUAAUUCCCUGUGAGUUUGUAAUAUUAAAGUUAAUGUAAAAUGUUACAUGGAAAUUCUAGGACACUUGGCGCUUUAUCCGGCAUUGCAUUAACAGCACCACAUGGUUUUAAUCAUCUUCUUGAUCAGUCUGUUAACUACAGAAAUAAUAUGGCUGUCUGAAAAUUUUGAGUUACAGUAGCAGGAAGUCAUGGAGAAAGUUAUUGUUUGGGAAGAAAUUCCUGAAAAGGCUAAUGUUAGCAAGUAUAAAGCUAAAGUUAGUAUCAAGGAGGUCUAUAAUACCUGGAGAAAUCUGUGUGUUAGCAUCACGGAGACUAUAAUACUCAUAGAAAGACAAUGUUAGCAUCACAGAAGACAUGGUGAUGAUAAUAACAUGGGAAAGCUAUCUGUUUGCAUCAAUGAUGUUUAGAGUACCUGGAGAAAGUUAAACGUUAGCAACAAGUAAA
ensembl:lncRNA